rnacentral:ncRNA from 1 species
AUAAAAGGGAAUAACCGUUUUCGUAUAAUUCCGGGAAUCGGCCCGGAAGUCUCUACGAGGUCACCGUAAAUGAUCUGGCUACGAAAAAAAAGCGGUUCACG